CUCUCCUCCUCCUCUCCUCUUCCUCCUCUUUCUCUCCUCCUCCCCUUCCUCCUCCUCUCGUCUCUCUGUCUGUCUCCCUCCACAGGUGCGAUCCCAGAAGGGAGUGCAGGCUGCUUCGGGUCGCUCUGGUGAAUCCCAUGGAAGGGAUGUUCUGCUGUUCCGCCGUCUUUGACUCUGGCUGCUCUAAAGCUCCUCGGGCCGCUCGGCGGGCCAGUCAGCUGGCUGCUCAGAGCUGAGGAAUCUUGUUCUCCUGCUUUUACGACGUAAUGCUGGGGAAUGUCAACACGGCAGGUUUCCCUUCGAUAAGGCAUCGUGUGGAGGUGGCAGAUAGGAUCGUUGGGAUCAGCUGUUGUCUCGCAGGGCCAUUUUCAGGUGAUUCGCUAAAAAAACAAAUGUUGUGUGUUUUGUUUUGUGUGUUUUGUUCUUUGAGAUUUAAUACUUUUUUUUUUUUUUUCAUUGGGUUGGACGUAAUUUGUUGGGUUUAUCAUCCCAUCAAGCUUCAUUCCAUUCUUCUGACACAUGUCUUUUGUACUCCUGACUCUGUCUAUAAAAAGCUUAAUUGAGUCAAUUAAACCACACCUCUAACUUAAACGAUACAAAUGACAGAAGUAGUGGAGUCUUAGACGGUUCAGAUCCGGAGAGGAAGCUCAAUCAGCCUAAUCACUGAGAUCUACUCCUGCUCCAUGCAGCGUCCCCAGCCCAUGUGGGCCCAAUGCCUCUCCUGCUCUGGCUGUGGGCGUCUCUUAAAACGAAUGUGUUGUCCCUAUCUGGACACAGAGAUGUGUUAAAAAGCAAGACAUGUUGUGUUGUUUUCAACGCCCAAGUUAUUUUCAACACAUAUUGUGUAACAAAUAAAAAAAAGGAAACAACACAAGCCGUGUUGUCCUUAUCUGGACAAAGAGAUGUAAAAAAAAGCAACACUUUUUUGUGUUGUUUUCAACGCAAGUUGUGUUGUUUUUAACACAAGUUGUGUUAUAGGAACUCAAGCCGUGCUGUCCCUAUCUGGACACAGAGAUGUAACAACGCAAGUUGUGUUAUUUUCAACACAAGAAGUGCCUAUCUGGACACACAUUCGUUUUACAGUAAGAGUACCUGCUUUGACACCCACUGCUGCUGUGUACACGGUGCAGGUACACCACUGCCAUCUACUGGCCACAAUGGUACAUAGCUGCCAAGUGCAUGAAGCAGUUACUGUAAACAAAUGGCCCCGAGCUCAGUCACAAGACCUCAUCCUGUCUAUCCCUGGCUUGACUCAACUUAGGAGGAUUGUUCUGUUAUUCACACAAACCUUUAUCUUUGCUCAGCUAAAAAACACCUGGACAACACCAGUACACAAAUUACCUCACCUAAAAUGACUGGUCCUACAGGAUAUAGGAAAGGGUGUGUGUGUGUGUGUGUGUGUGUGUGUGUGUGAAUUGUACCUGAGGAGAAAGAGAGAGAAUGUUGUUAUGUAGUUAUGCAUGUUAUGUGAAUGUUACUAGAAAUGUAAAGUAUUAAUGUAAAGUAUUAAUGUCAGAAAGUCUUCUGUGUGUGUGUGUGUGGGGGGGGGGGGCGCAGACAAUAAUUCAUCACUGUGGUAAAGUGAAAUGGAAUUGGUUGUUUGUGUGUGUGUGUGUGUGUCUUUGUGUGUAUCUCUGUGUGUGUGUCUUUGUGUGUGUGUGUGUGUGUGUGUGUGUGUGUGUGUGUGUCUGUAUCUCUGUGUGUAUCUGUGUGUGUGUGUGACACUGAUAUUCCUCUGAGAGAGGGAGUGGAGUUUCCUGCAGAACAUCCCCUCCCUUUAGAAUCCUGCUGUCUGGCUGCCCGGUGUUUAUGUCCAGACUCUCACUCAUCAGUGCCAGUAUGGUCAACAUGAAUCCUUCCCUUGUGUCUGUUCCUCUGUCAGCUAGAGCAGCUCUUCCUUCCUGACCAGUGUUUCAGCUGGUUAAUGGCCAGGGCGAGGGCCAGUCUUUCAGCUGGUUAAUGGCCAGGGCGAGGCUCUAUGUAUUUGACCCCUGUGCUCUCUUUCCUGGACAAGCUGUGUGGCGUAUGAAGAGAGGAAGAGGGAGGCCAGAGUGCUGAAGGGGUCCAGGAGGGACCAGACACACACACACACACACACACACCAUCAGGAUCCAGGAGGGACCAGACACACACACACACACACACACACACAAUCAGGAUCCAGGAGGGAACAGGCGCACUCAGACACACACACACACACACACACACACACACACAAUCAGAAUCCAUCUACAGGCCAACACACUCACGCUCACGCUCAUGUCACACAGGCUAACGACAUUUGAAAAUAUUGGUUUUGCAAACAAUGUUGCAACACGUUGCAUUUACCACAAGCACUCACACACAUGCACUCACACACAUGCACUCACACACACACACACACACAUAAACAUACACACACACACACACACACACACACACA